rnacentral:snRNA from 1 species
CCAUUCUAAUGCAAGAUAUAAAAUUGGAAUGAUACAGAGAAAAUUCACAAGAUGGCCCUGUGCAAGGAUGACAUACCAUCAUACAAAGGGUAAUUGUUUUCU